AGUGUGGUUAGAACGCAGGCAGGGAGGGGUGGAAACAAUGUCAGUCGCGGGAGUUGUCUGAGGGUUUGCACAGAGGAGUGAGGAGAUCCACCUCAGACUGAUGCCGUGAGACCAGACUGAAGGUGGAGGAGGCAGCAUGGAAAUGGAGACCAGUCAGAAGGCUGAGAGUCUAGGCAAGUCCCAGGAGGCCAGGCAUGGCGGUUCAUGCCCAGCACUUUGGAGGCCGAGGCAGAUGGAUCAUCUGAGGUUGGGAGUUCGAGACCAGCCUGAACAACAUGGAGAAACCCUGUCUCUACUAAAAAUACAAAAAUAGCCAGGCAUGGUGGCACAUGCCUGUAAUUCCAGCUACUCGGGUGGAUGCAGCAGGAGAAUCGCUUGAACCCAGGAGGCGGAGGUUGCGGUGAGCUGAGAUUGCACCAUUGAACUCCAGCCUGGGCAACAAGAGUGAAACUCCUUCCAAAAAAAAAAAAAAAAGUCCCAGGAACAGGUGGUGAUUAUAGGUGAUUUUUCAAACUUUCUCAUAAACAGACUCCAGAAAUUUCUUUUCAGAGGAAAAGCUGUGAAAUUUAGUUU
rnacentral:lncRNA from 1 species